GUGCCAGCCGCCGCGGUAAUACGGAGGGUGCAAGCGUUAUCCGGAUUUAUUGGGUUUAAAGGGUCCGUAGGCGGAUGCGUAAGUCAGUGGUGAAAUCUCACAGCUCAACUGUGAAACUGCCAUUGAUACUGCGUGUCUUGAGUGAGGUUGAAGUAGCUGGAAUAAGUAGUGUAGCGGUGAAAUGCAUAGAUAUUACUUAGAACACCAAUUGCGAAGGCAGGUUACUAAGUCUCAACUGACGCUGAUGGACGAAAGCGUGGGGAGCGAACAGGAUUAGAUACCCUGGUAGUCCACGCUGUAAACGAUGCUAACUCGUUUUUGGGGAUUUAUCUUCAGAGACUAAGCGAAAGUGAUAAGUUAGCCACCUGGGGAGUACGAACGCAAGUUUGAAACUCAAGGGAAUUGACGGGGGCCCGCACAAGCGGUGGAUUAUGUGGUUUAAUUCGAUGAUACGCGAGGAACCUUACCAAGGCUUAAAUGGGAAUUGAUCGGUUUAGAAAUAGACCUUCCUUCGGGCAAUUUUCAAGGUGCUGCAUGGUUGUCGUCAGCUCGUGCCGUGAGGUGUUAGGUUAAGUCCUGCAACGAGCGCAACCCCUGUCACUAGUUGCCAUCAUUCAGUUGGGGACUCUAGUGAGACUGCCUACGCAAGUAGAGAGGAAGGUGGGGAUGACGUCAAAUCAUCACGGCCCUUACGCCUUGGGCCACACACGUAAUACAAUGGCCGGUACAGAGGGCAGCUACACAGCGAUGUGAUGCAAAUCUCGAAAGCCGGUCUCAGUUCGGAUUGGAGUCUGCAACUCGACUCUAUGAAGCUGGACUCGCUAGUAAUCGCGCAUCAGCCAUGGCGCGGUGAAUACGUUCCCGGGCCUUGUACACACCGCCCGUCAAGCCAUGGAAGUCUGGGGUACCUGAAGUCGGUGACCGUAAAAGGAGCUGCCUAGGGUAAAACAGGUAACUAGGGCUAAGUCGUAACAAGGUAACC
rnacentral:rRNA from 1 species